rnacentral:lncRNA from 1 species
AGCUGUGCUAUUUAAAGCGAAAAUAUUAUGCCGAAUUUUUCACGAAGGAGUAUUGGCCGUGGGAUCAUGUAACUAAGAGAAACAUGGGUGGCUUGAAACUUGGAAGUAGAAUAAAGGUAUGCUACAGUAACCAUGCAUGUGCCUAUCAUGAUAAAUUCGUAGAAUGCUUUUUCGCUUGAAGUAGCAUUUUCCUUAAAUUUAUGAUAAUUACAAAACUAACCUGCUAUUGAAAACCCGAAAUUACCCUGCCCUCCCCAAAAGGGGGAAUAUACUAACCUACGACGCGCUACUACAGUCAACACAGAACGUUACCGUGUUUCCUUCCUUUCUUCCACUCGCCACCAUCACCAUUUCCUUCUUCUUCGAUUCCAUUACAUCACAAAGAGAUUGUCGCAGAUUGGUUGACGAAUUUUC